rnacentral:rRNA from 1 species
UACGUAGGGGGCGAGCGUUGUCCGGAAUCAUUGGGCGUAAAGCGCGUGUAGGCGGCCCGGUAAGUCCGCUGUGAAAGUCCAGGGCUCAACCCUGGGAUGCCGGUGGAUACUGUCGGGCUCGAGUCCGGAAGAGGCGAGUGGAAUUCCUGGUGUAGCGGUGAAAUGCGCAGAUAUCAGGAGGAACACCAAUGGCGAAGGCAGCUCGCCGGGACGUGACUGACGCUGAGACGCGAAAGCGUGGGGAGCAAACAGG